CCUCCUACUGCGAGAAGCAUGUGCGCGCUAGCUAGAAUAGCAGAGAUUGUAUUUAACAUAUCUGGGAGAAAUGUUUUAGUGUGCUUUUUGAGCUUUCACUAUUGUAAUACAUAGAUGAAGCUUGAACUAUAUAUAUUUUUUUAUUAGUAUGCAUUUUGGAGUAUCGUGAAGGCCGCUGCAGCUUGGGAGUGUGGAGGUACAUCAUCAGGUGAUGCUCGCAGGUCGGAUGCGGUGUUUGUGAGGUGAUUGCACCACUACACGUGGGCAGAUGGUCGGCUCAGGCCUCCCCUGGACGAAAUGGAUGUUGGUGUUAAUGGAUCCUCUGAGUAGCACCAUUAUAUCGGACCUCAAGAAACGGACAUCUGACUGUAAGUGAUGAGGUGUAUAAACGGUGUGUUUUAAACCAAAGUGUAUAUUUUAUUUGUAAUUCAUGGAAAGAAUAAAAAUGUCCAUUAUCAAUAAAACAUUUUUUUCACACUC